AAGUCGUAACAAGGUUUCCGUAGGUGAACCUGCGGAAGGAUCAUUACCAAAUCCAAAAAUACCCAAACCCCAAUGUGAACUAUUGUAUAAGUCUGUCUUUGGGAGAAAGCUUGUCCAAUUUUUAUUAAAAAAAUAGAUUAGCUUUCUCCCAAAAGAGUCCGGCAUAAUCUGUAUGGAUGUGUCCAGGUUCUCUUUAAAAACACCCUUUAUUAAACCACUUGAUUUAUUUGUUGGAAUUUUUCUUUUUAUAAAUUUUUAAAUAAAAAGACAACUUUUAACGGCGGAUCUCUUGGCUCGUG
rnacentral:misc_RNA from 1 species